rnacentral:rRNA from 1 species
UACAGAGGUGGCAAGCGUUGUUCGGAAUUACUGGGCGUAAAGGGCGCGUAGGCGGCCAUCUAAGUCAGACGUGAAAUCCCCCGGCUUAACCUGGGAACUGCGUCUGAUACUGGUUGGCUUGAAUCCGGGAGAGGGAUGUGGAAUUCCAGGUGUAGCGGUGAAAUGCGUAGAUAUCUGGAGGAACACCGGUGGCGAAGGCGGCAUCCUGGACCGGUAUUGACGCUGAGGAGCGAAAGCCAGGGGAGCAAACGGG